rnacentral:tmRNA from 1 species
GGGGAUGACGGGCCUCGACGAAGUUCAUUUCAAAUUAUAUGCAGGUAGUGGUUUAGACAUCCACUUAAAUAGCGUCUAAAAUUAUAAUUGCAAAAAACAAUUAUUCAAACGCUUUAGCAUUUGCCUAAGCGUCGUUCUCUCAAUGACUCUCGCUAGUUGAGAAGAGCGCCAUCAGCGGGAUACUAUUUACAGGGUCUUGGUGUAUUCUAAGCUGUAAACAGGAAACUUAACUAGAAUACUGGUCCGACGUUUUUGCUAAUUUCAAAGUCGGACAAUAACAAAUUGGCUAAACUUGUAGAAUAUAAUUUGAUUAAACCUCGGAUGGCGAUUCAACUUCGCCCAUCUCCACCG